GACGAACGCUGGCGGCGUGCCUAAUACAUGCAAGUUGAGCGCUGAAGGUUGGUACUUGUACCAACUGGAUGAGCAGCGAACGGGUGAGUAACGCGUGGGUAAUCUGCCUUUGAGCGGGGGACAACAUUUGGAAACGAAUGCUAAUACCGCAUAAAAACUUUAAACACAAGUUUUAAGUUUGAAAGAUGCAAUUGCAUCACUCAAAGAUUAUCCCGCGUUGUAUUAGCUAGUUGGUGAGGUAAAGGCCCACCAAGGCGAUGAUACAUAGCCGACCUGAGAGGGUGAUCGGCCACAUUGGGACUGAGACACGGCCCAAACUCCUACGGGAGGCAGCAGUAGGGAAUCUUCGGCAAUGGACGGAAGUCUGACCGAGCAACGCCGCGUGAGUGAAGAAGGUUGUCGGAUCGUAAAACUCUGUUGGUAGGGAAGAACGUUGGUGAGAGUGGAAAGCUCAUCAAGUGACGGUAACUACCCAGAAAGGGACGGCUAACUACGUG
rnacentral:rRNA from 1 species